UACAGAGGGUGCAAGCGUUGUUCGGAAUUAUUGGGCGUAAAGGGCGCGUAGGCGGUGUGUCAAGUCAGGCGUGAAAGCCCCGGGCUCAACCUGGGAACCGCGCUUGAGACUGGCACGCUCGAGUUCGGGAGAGGAUGGUGGAAUUCCCAGUGUAGAGGUGAAAUUCGUAGAUAUUGGGAAGAACACCGAUGGCGAAGGCAGCCAUCUGGACCGACACUGACGCUGAGGCGCGAAAGCGUGGGGAGCAAACAGG
rnacentral:rRNA from 1 species